rnacentral:rRNA from 1 species
AACGAACGCUGGCGGCAUGCCUAACACAUGCAAGUCGAACGAGAUCUUCGGGUCUAGUGGCGCACGGGUGCGUAACGCGUGGGAAUCUGCCCUUUGGUUCGGAAUAACAGUUGGAAACGACUGCUAAUACCGGAUGAUGACGAAAGUCCAAAGAUUUAUAGCCAGAGGAUGAGCCCGCGUAGGAUUAGCUAGUUGGUGUGGUAAAGGCGCACCAAGGCGACGAUCCUUAGCUGGUCUGAGAGGAUGAUCAGCCACACUGGGAGUGAGACACGGCCCAGACUCCUACGGGAGGCAGCAGUGGGGAAUAUUGGACAAUGGGCGAAAGCCUGAUCCAGCAAUGCCGCGUGAGUGAUGAAGGCCUUAGGGUUGUAAAGCUCUUUUACUCGGGAUGAUAAUGACAGUACCGGGAGAAUAAGCUCCGGCUAACUCCGUGCCAGCCGCCGCAGUAA